rnacentral:rRNA from 1 species
UACGUAUGGUGCAAGCGUUAUCCGGAUUUACUGGGUGUAAAGGGAGCGCAGGCGGUUCGGCAAGUCUGAUGUGAAAGUCCGGGGCUCAACCCCGGGACUGCAUUGGAAACUGUCGGACUAGAGUGUCGGAGGGGUAAGUGGAAUUCCUAGUGUAGCGGUGAAAUGCGUAGAUAUUAGGAGGAACACCAGUGGCGAAGGCGGCUUACUGGACGACAACUGACGCUGAGGCUCGAAAGCGUGGGGAGCAAAC